CAAGUCGAACGCGAAAGUUCCUUCGGGAGCGAGUAGAGUGGCGGACGGGUGAGUAAUGCGUAGGAAUUUUCCCUAAAGCGGGGGACAACCCGAGGAAACUCGGGCUAAUACCGCAUAAUCUCUACGGAGGAAAGAAGGGGACCUUUCGGGGCCUUUCACUUUAGGAUGAGCCUACGUCGGAUUAGCUUGUUGGUAAGGUAAUGGCUUACCAAGGCGACGAUCCGUAGCUGGUUUGAGAGGAUGAUCAGCCACACUGGGACUGAGAUACGGCCCAGACUCCUACGGGAGGCAGCAGUGGGGAAUAUUGGACAAUGGGCGCAAGCCUGAUCCAGCAAUGCCGCGCGGGUGAAGAAGGCCUUCGGGUUGUAAAGCACUUUCAGUGGGGAGGAAAUGCUCAAGGUUAAUACCCUUGAGAGCUGACGUUACCCACAGAAGAAGCACCGGCUAACUCCGUGCCAGCAGCCGCGGUAAUACGGAGGGUGCAAGCGUUAAUCGGAAUUACUGGGCGUAAAGCGCGCGUAGGUGGUCGCUUAAGUCGGGUGUGAAAGCCCCGGGCUCAACCUGGGAAUUGCAUUCGAUACUGGGCGUCUAGAGUAUGGUAGAGGGAAGUGGAAUUU
rnacentral:rRNA from 1 species